rfam:Monodelphis domestica chromosome 8, whole genome shotgun sequence.
GAAAAGGUUUUUUUCAAAACCACACACAAAAAGUUUUCAGCACAUG